GACGAACGCUGGCGGCGUGCUUAACACAUGCAAGUCGAACGGAAAGGCCUGCCUUCCCUUGUGGAUUGCGGGUACUCGAGUGGCGAACGGGUGAGUAACACGUGAGUGAUCUGCCCCCAACUUGGGUAUAAGCCUGGGAAACUGGGUCUAAUUCCCGAUAGGACUGCAGGGUGGUGCCUGUGGUGGAAAACGAUUUUCUAGUGGUUGGGGAUGAGCUCGCGGCCUAUCAGCUUGUUGGUGGGGUAAUGGCCUACCAAGGCGGCGACGGGUAGCCGGCCUGGGAGGGUGGACGGCCACAUUGGGACUGAGAUACGGCCCAGACUCCUACGGGAGGCAGCAGUGGGGAAUAUGGCACAAUGGGCGGAAGCCUGAGGCAGCGACGCCGCGGGGGGGAUGACGGCCUUCGGGUGGUAAACUCCUUUCGACCGCGAGGAAGCCACCUGGUUGGAAGGGUGGUGACGGUAGUGGGAGAAGAAGCACCGGCUAACUACGUG
rnacentral:rRNA from 1 species